GCCGGGCAUGGUGGUGUGCGCCUGUAAUCCCAGCUACUUGGGAGGCUGAGACGGGAGAAUCGCUUGAACCCAGGAGGCGGAGGUUGCAGUGAGGCGAGAUUGCACCACUGCACUCCAGCCUGGGCAAAAGAGCAAGAUUCCGUCUCAA
rnacentral:SRP_RNA from 1 species